AUGACAAUAUCCACACCAGUGAUUACUGUGCUUUCGGUACCUUCGCCCUCGGGGCCUUCAGCGGAGGCAUUUCCACCAAUGAGCGAGUCAUCAAUGUUACCCUCUGUCCUACUGACCAUGGCUGAUGAGGUCCCAGUAGAUGAUCAUGAUGGCGACUGGAGGGAGACAACGGUGGCACUAGCUUACGAGCACGGAGCUCAGAGCAAGCGCGGUGCAGCCGGAGCGGCGCUCGGGGGAGGGGGGAGCGGGCGGAAAAGGCCGACUCUGCCGCUCCCCAACCUCAUAUAGAGGGCACCUCUCUUUCUCUCUUGAUGAAAUGCCAGCGCCCAGUCCAAUACACUUCCAACCACGCUGCACCCAGACAACCAUUCACUUGUGCAUUUGUAGAACAGUAUUCACUAAAUUACAUGAGAUAGUCAGUACUUUAUUACAAAGCAGUUUUUUAUGUUAGAUGAUUUUGUCCAUCUGUAGGCUAGUGUAAGUGUUCUGAGCACAUUUAAAGUAGGCUCGGCUCGGCUGUGAUGUUCAUUCAGUAGGUUAGGUGUAUUAAAUGCAUUUUUGACUUACAAUAUUUUCAAUUUAUGAUGGAUUUAUUGAGACAUAACCCCAUCAUAAGUUGAGGAAGAUGUGUAAAGCUUUAAAGGAAAUUCAGAUUCUUGAGUCCCACUCUAAACAAAGUCAAUUAGAAAGUCUUGGGUGAAGCCUUAUAUGUAUAUAAAUUUAAAAAUAUAACAAAUAUAAACAGUUAUAUUUGUAGCUAUAACACCGUCCUUCAAAUUCUGAUCAUCAGUUAGGUUUGGGAGGUUCUGGUUUCAGUAACUUAUCCAAUGUCACACAGAACCCUAAAUAGAGCCAGAAAUGAACUCAAAUCUUAUAAGUCCAAGUUAAAUGCUUUUCACUGGACUUUUGCUGUCCUUUUACUGAUUACAUAUGAUGGGGUAGGAUGGAAAAGUGGAGAAAAAACAGCAAUUUCAAUUAAAACUUUUUACCAUGUUCUGUUUCAUGGUUUUAAGAUUAAAAGAGCUAAUAUCUUAGUGAACUUAGAACAAUAUCUGGCACAUGGCAAGUACAUGUAAGUGAUAAAUGUUAAAUGAAUAGGUUAAAUGUUAAGUGAAUGCUGU
rnacentral:lncRNA from 1 species